GGAGGGGGGGCUAGCGUUGUUCGGAAUUACUGGGCGUAAAGCGCGCGUAGGCGGGACCUGCAAGUCGGGGGGGGGUGAAAGCCCGAGGGCUCAACCUCGGAACUGCCUUCGAUACUGCGGGUCUCGAGUCCGGGAGAGGUGAGUGGAAUUCCUAGUGUAGAGGUGAAAUUCGUAGAUGUUAGGAAGAACACCAGUGGCGAAGGCGGCUCACUGGCCCGGUACUGACGCUGAGGCGCGAAAGCGUGGGGAGCAAACAGGAUUAGAUACCCUGGUAGUCCACGCCGUAAACUAUGGGUGCUAGCCGUCGGUCGGCAUGCCGGUCGGUGGCGCAGCAAACGCAUUAAGCACCCCGCCUGGGGAGUACGGUCGCAAAGAUUAA
rnacentral:rRNA from 1 species